CCUUGUCUUUUGCGUACUUCUUGUUUCCUUGGUGGGUUCGCCCACCACUAGGACAAACAUAAACCUUUUGUAAUUGCAAUCAGCGUCAGUAACAAAUUAAUAAUUACAACUUUCAACAACGGAUCUCUUGGUUCUGGCAUCGAUGAAGAACGCAGCGAAAUGCGAUAAGUAGUGUGAAUUGCAGAAUUCAGUGAAUCAUCGAAUCUUUGAACGCACAUUGCGCCCUUUGGUAUUCCAAAGGGCAUGCCUGUUCGAGCGUCAUUUGUACCCUCAAGCUUUGCUUGGUGUUGGGCGUCUUGUCUCUAGCUUUGCUGGAGACUCGCCUUAAAGUAAUUGGCAGCCGGCCUACUGGUUUCGGAGCGCAGCACAAGUCGCACUCUCUAUCAGCAAAGGUCUAGCAUCCAUUAAGCCUUUUUUUCAACUUUUGACCUCGGAUCAGGUAGGGAUACCCGCUGAACUUAAGC
rnacentral:rRNA from 1 species